UGUGAAUUAUUUGUUGUCUCACUAGCUUUGAAGGUAAAUACCGACCCUCUCAAGGGAUGGUUAAUUGGCAGUCGCCUUGUUAAGGAUAAAAAAGGCUCAAUACUAAUGGAUCAUCACUUGGCAAUCAUGGUAAAGUAGGGGCAGGGGAUUAUAAAAAAUCAUGCUAGUGGUUGAAUUAUAAAAAGUAAUCGACAUAUCCCUGAAGUUUGUUGCAUCGAGUAGGGGUGAUCAUGGGCCGGGAGGCCGGCCUUGCCCGACCGCCCGGCCUUGCCCGACGGCCUGCCCGAAAUAUGGGAGGGUUCGGGUAAAAAUAUAGGCCCGAAAUAUGGGCUUGGGCAAAAAACGACGUGAGAAAAAUUCUUGGCCCAGCCCGGCCCGGCCCGAAUAUAAUAUAUAUUUUUUUAUUUUUUGUUUUUUCAAACAUUUCUCAAUUCCCCCAUUAACAUUUUUGCUUUAACACCCAUUUCCCCAUUUCCCAUUUCUCCCAUUUCCCGUUUCCCCUGUUCCACAAAUCCCUAACCCCGUGUCCGACUGCCCUCCUCCCUUUUUUUCUCAACCUUCACCUCCGACACCAAUCCACCUCCACCGAUCCACCUCCGGUCCUCCACGGCUCCACCCAUUUCCUGAAUCAGAGAAGCAAGCUAUUUAGUGAGGCAGAAAUACAGCAGGCCCAGGCAGGUUGCUAUCACUAUCUCACACCCUUUCCUUUGAAACAAUCAACCUUAGCGACUUUUCCUAAAUGAUGUGUGUUUUUUUAGUAUUACUUAAAGACAUGCGACAAGUUUGAUCUUGUAUCACAAGGCUAGCAUAGUUAAAUAACUAUUUUAUUAUCUCGUGCAAUAUAUGAGUUCGGUAUUAUACUA